GGUAGCAUGGUGUAGUGGUUUGAAUGUUGGACUAUGACUCUGGAAACCAGAGUUCGAUUCCCUGCUCAGCCA
rnacentral:tRNA from 1 species